UACGAAGGGGGCUAGCGUUGUUCGGAAUUACUGGGCGUAAAGCGUGCGCAGGCGGCUUCUCAAGUCAGGGGUGAAAGCCCAGAGCUCAACUCUGGAAUUGCCUUUGAGACUGAGUGGCUUGAGUACGAGAGAGGUGAGUGGAAUUCCCAGUGUAGAGGUGAAAUGCGCAGAUAUCGGGAGGAACACCAAUGGCGAAGGCAGCUCGCUGGGACGUUACUGACACUGAGGCGCGAAAGCGUGGGGAGCGAACAGG
rnacentral:rRNA from 1 species